GGGCUCACACAAGCGGUGGAGCAUGUUGCUUAAUUCGAGGCAACGCGAAGAACCUUACCUGGGCUUGACAUGUACGGAUUAACCCCGUGAAAGCGGGGCCACAGUCGCAAGACCGGAACGUGCACAGGUGCUGCAUGGCUGUCGUCAGCUCGUGCUGUGAAGUGUCGGGUUAAGUCCCUUAACGAGCGCAACCCCUGUCGUUAGUUGCUCACGGGUAAUGCCGAGUACUCUAGCGAGACUGCCGGUGUCAAACCGGAGGAAGGUGGGGAUGACGUCAAGUCCUCAUGGCCCUUACGUCCAGGGUUGCAAACGUGCUACAAUGGCGCGUACAAAGCGAUGCGAGGCCGCGAGGCGGAGCAAAUCGCAAAAAGCGCGCCCCAGUUCGGAUUGCAGGCUGCAACUCGCCUGCAUGAAGUCGGAAUCGCUAGUAAUCGGAGAUCAGCUACGCUCCGGUGAAUGUGUUCCUGAGCCUU
rnacentral:rRNA from 1 species